AUGGAGGACGACGACGAGAAAGAGCGUGUGACAGCCCGCUUUGUUGUCUACAAAAUCGACUUUAUCAAACAAAAGCUCACCAAAGUACACAAUCUCAAAGAUCACACACUGUUCACGGGUUUCAACACUUCAUUUUUAGUUCCGGCGAAGGACUUCCCCACAUUAAUACCCAAUAGCAUCUACCAUACGGAUGACUUGAAUCAUAAUACUUUCUCCAAGAGAUUUUCCAAUAGACGGGCUUUGAUUGACCAAGGCCUUGGGCAGAUUUUUAUCUUCAAUAUGGAAGAUAAUAGUUUCACAAAUAUACUGGCUCCCAAUUCUUCAAGGUUGAAUUGGCCCCCACCAGUUUGGAUCCUGCCAUAA
rnacentral:rRNA from 1 species